rnacentral:rRNA from 1 species
UACGGGGGGUGCGAGCGUUGUCCGGAAUCACUGGGCGUAAAGGGCGCGUAGGUGGUUUGAUAAGGGUGUGGUGAAAAGUCCGGGGCUCAACCCCCGGAUCUGCCGUGCCGACUGUCAAACUCGAGGGCUGUAGAGGCAGACGGAAUUCCGGGUGUAGCGGUGGAAUGCGUAGAGAUCCGGAGGAAGACCGGUGGCGAAGGCGGUCUGCUGGGCAGUUCUGACACUGAUGCGCGACAGCGUGGGGAGCAAACAGG